rnacentral:rRNA from 1 species
CGCAUCUGUGCAUGCAGCACUAUCAAUAAGCGGAGGAAAAGAAACUAACAAGGAUUCCCUCAGUAACGGCGAGUGAAGCGGGAAGAGCUCAAAUUUGAAAUCUUGAAAGGUCACCUUUCACGAAUUGUAGUUUAAAGAAGUGUUUUCUGUUACGAUCGUAAUAUAAGUUCUUUGGAAUAGGACAUCACAGAGGGUGAGAAUCCCGUCUAUGAUUGCGAUUUGUAGCUUUGUGAUACACUUUCAAAGAGUCGGGUUGUUUGGGAAUGCAGCCCAAAACGGGAGGUAAAUUUCUUCUAAGGCUAAAUAUUGGCGAGAGACCGAUAGCGAACAAGUACCGUGAGGGAAAGAUGAAAAGAACUUUGAAAAGAGAGUUAAAUAGUACGUGAAAUUGUCAAAAGGGAAGCGUUUAACACCAGUGUUGUUUUCUGAAAAUCAACCUCUGUUAGCUUUAUGCAUGUUUGUUUAGACCUAAUCAGCUAUCUUGCAUGUUCUAUUGUUUGCAGUGGUGCACUUUUCAGUUUACAGGUCAACAUCAGUUUUUUUUACCGUAAAAAAGUUAAAGAAAGGUAGCUCAUGGCUCCGGUCGUGAGUGUUAUAGUCUUUUUCCUAUGCGGUAGGAGAGACUGAGGUCUGCAGUGUAGGCUAUUUGGCUAGAUACUCAGGUGCUAUGUGAUACCAUUUCAUAAACAACUUGUUGAUUAUGUUUUGUCUAUUGCAUACUCGCUUGUACUAUCAUACCUACGCUUAGGAUGUUGACGAUCAGCUGAGCGCG